AAUUAUAUAUAUAUAUUGUUUCUGUCACCUAUCUAGGUAUGUAUAUAGACACAUUGACACAUAUAUGAUGUAUAUUUCCUUGGGUCCAAUUAUUAACUCUCCUUCUUGUUAGACACAAUAAACUUAGAGAAACUAAUGAACCUGCAAUCUAUAGGAUUAACGAUGACCUGGAGUAUUGUAUUGAGAUAUAUGAGUGAUCUCAAAAGAGCUGGGAACCAUACGUAUGUCGCAAAUGGUGUCCGAGUGCAGUUCACCGUGAUUAGCCCUUAUGUGAAAAUAACUCUAGAGACAGAUACUGUCCAUUGCUUGUCGUGGGAGGUUGUUACGGUGCUCAACUGCUAAUAUAGGGAAACAUCUUAAGAUUUCAGAAGAAGUUGUCCAAAAUUCCGAGGAUGUGCCAUUUGUGUCUUUCCCUAUUACGGAGCUUCGUUUACCACACAAGUCUCUUUGCUCUCUCCCUCUCCUGUGAUCUUAUUUGUCGACAAAUCUGCAGCGACCAUGGCUUUCGAUUCUGCAGAUGGCUGGUUUUUUCAUCUUCAGCAUUGUCUUCAUGUACUACAAGUAAACUGCCAAUAUAACGCACGAGACAACUUUCCAUGACGCAGAUCCUCAGUUUUCCUGUUAACAUUUGUUGAGGGACUUCAGAUAGUUACGUUGAAGAUAGUGCAAAAAAUGGACCAGCAUCCACAAUGUAGGUGUACCGAUUCACUUCUUGGAUUAAAAGUCGCAUCGAGUUUCACGAGCAUUAUGUCACAUCGAUUUUCUUCUUUUUUCUGUUAGGUCCAUUUCUCGUUUUGUGUCGUGUGUACUACGUUGUUGCGGCUUACCAAAAGACUUGUAACUUUGUUUUCAAUGUGAUGUUUAAGGCAAAAUGUUAGUCAUCGUCGAGAAGUGAUUAAAAAUUCUUGGUCACUCAUCUUUAAAUUUGUAUUAAGAGUGAAGGUUAAAAAGAUGUGUUUUUAAUGUUUAAUCUCAUC